GAUCCUGGCUCAGGAUGAACGCUAGCGACAGGCUUAACACAUGCAAGUCGAGGGGCAGCAUGAUUUGUAGCAAUACAGAUUGAUGGCGACCGGCGCACGGGUGAGUAACGCGUAUGCAACUUACCUAUCAGAGGGGGAUAGCCCGGCGAAAGUCGGAUUAAUACCCCAUAAAACAGGGGUCCCGCAUGGGAAUAUUUGUUAAAGAUUCAUCGCUGAUAGAUAGGCAUGGGUUCU
rnacentral:rRNA from 1 species